GUGAAUCAUCGAAUUUUUGAACGCAAAUUGCACUCUCCGGUUUUCCGGGAGAGGAUGCCGGGUUGAGGGUCAGCCUAAAUAAAAACGGCGUAGUAGUUUGCUGUGGUUUUCACGGUAACGUUGGUCGGAAUUUGGGUCAUCUUAAACCGAAAGGUGUUUAAGAGACUUAAAAUUUUCGUUACGAACUCGCGAACGGUUCUAAGAGUGAAUUGUACGUUCAAGGUAUCGAUAUUAGACGUGAAGGUCGUAUCGGAUCGAGUCCAUAAUAAUUUCUU
rnacentral:misc_RNA from 1 species